UCUUGGUUGCAUAAGAAUAUGGCUUCCUUCUUCGACUUUGCAAGAGGGCUGGAAGAACUCCAAUUCAUCUUCAUUCUUUCAAAGAUAAUGAUAGUAACGGGGGUGAUUGUUGCAUUCAGUCUUAUCUUUCUUAAAGCCGAAUAUGGAAGGUACUUUUCUUCGAAUUCAACACGGAAGUACGGCUUUGCAGUAGAUGCAAGAGUUGCAUGGUUUGUGCAAGAACUACCAGCCUUCGUCGUUCCAUGUCUGCUGCUGUUGUAUGCACGCAAAGACGUCUUUGGAUUGACUCCCAAUAUGACUCUGCUAUCUUUGUUUUUAUUGCAUUACACUCAAAGGUCACUCAUUUAUCCUUGGCUUAUCAAAGGAGGGAAACCGACUCCUGUUUUUCUGUCAUUUCUGGCAUUUAUGUUUUGUGUAUUAAAUGGAUACAUGCAGGCAAGAUAUUUAACAAAAUUUGCUCGAUACGAAAUGUCUUACUUAUCAAGUCCCCGCUUUGUUUGUGGUGUAGCGAUAUUUUUCAUGGGGAUGGCCAUCAACAUCCAUUCAGAUCACGUUCUGCGCAACUUAAGGAGACCUGGUGAAACAGGGUACAACAUUCCAAGAGGUGGUAUGUUCACCUAUGUGUCAGGAGCCAAUUUUUUUGGUGAGAUAGUUGAAUGGGCUGGCUUUGCUUUAGCCUGUUGGUCACUUCCAAGCUUAGCCUUCUUCUUGUUUACUGCUUUUAACAUCGGCCCAAGAGCAGUUCAACAUCACAGAGUCUCCUGAGACUCUGCAGGAGGCUUCUGUGUCUCUAUUGGAGGAAGGCAUUUCGAGUUUUCAGAGUUUUAACAUAACUUGACAUGUGGUCACCCAAAGGAGUGAAUUGUUGGGAAAAGUUUGGAUGCAAAAAACACCAGCUGGUAUCUUACAAAGUUUGAAGAUUAUCCAAAGUCGCGUAAAGCUCUGAUUCCUUUUGUUUUAUGAAGCAAUAAAGAAAAUCAGG
rnacentral:misc_RNA from 1 species